rnacentral:tRNA from 1 species
CCUGGUGGCUCAGAGAGUAAAGCAUCUGCCUACAGUGCAGGAGGCCUGGGUUCAAUUCCUGGGUCAGGA